UACAAUUAAUUUUAUUUUAACCAUAAACCAUUAUCCACCACAACAAAGAUAGAAAUAAACUCUUUGAGCCGAAUGAGAGGGAGGAGUCAAAGAAACCUCGUCAAGCAGACACUAGUGUAGAUCAAGUGCUCUUGCUCAGUACAGUAUUUAAAGUCAUUGAAUCACAGACUAGAUCAGGGUGAGAAUAAGAUCUGGAUUUAGACGAGACUUCAUUAAAAUCAGGAAAGAUGGCACACUGGAUUCAAAAAACUAUCAUUGUUCUCAUAUAUGUCUGGGGAAUAGAGUCGCAGGACAAUGUUGAGCAGAAAACACUAGUUCAGACUGCUUCUGAAAGUGGAGCUGUAAUAAUCAACUGUACAUAUCAAACCCAGUUCUCCCCGACUCUCUUUUGGUACCAGCAAAAAGUAAACGGAGUUCCUAAAUAUAUGCUGAACAGAGUUGGUCAAACUGGAGAUGAAGACAAAGAGUUCAAAGACAGAUUUAAUGCACAUAUCAACACAUCUUCAAAAUCAUUUCCUCUGAUAAUCAAGGACCUGCGUGUGUCUGACUCUGCUGUGUACUACUGUGCUCUGAACCCCACUGUGACUCAAACACACUCAACACUCACACAAAAACCUUCAUAUAUAAAUAUAUUGGCAUCGUGCAGUAGCUGUAGGGAGCCAGUAGAGGGAGAUCAGUGUCAUUUGUUGAUAUGUGGGUGCUGAGAUCUCACUCUCUGUCAGGAACUUGUUAUAAAAUCCACACAAACUUCCUCUGACUUAUUAAGAUCUAAAAGGUAUAAAUAAAUGCAUGUGUCCCACUCAAAGAUUUUUAGUUAUUCAUCAGAAUCUUUAAACAGCGUUCAUGAGUUCAUUUGCCCAUCUAGCUGAAAUAAAGGUGAACAGUUAUACGGCUGCCGGCUGGUGUGAUGAUUGACAUCUUACAUUGUCUGUCGCCUGUCAUCAUCUUUGGACUUUCAUAUGGCAGCCUUUUCAAAAUCAGCCCAGUGAUACAAAACAUGAAACAAGUCUUACAAAAACUAAAGGAUUUUAAAAAAGAAAAAAGAAAAAAGAAAAAAGAAAGAAAAAAGAUAAAACUGCAAACGUCUAUGUGAGGUUGGGGGAAGAAGUGAAUAAAAGGGCAAACAAAGUGUAACACGGUUAGUAGAUACGGGAAGAAGGAG